rnacentral:rRNA from 1 species
CCUACGGGCGGCAGCAGUGAGGAAUAUUGGUCAAUGGGCGGAAGCCUGAACCAGCCAAGUAGCGUGCAGGAUGACGGCCCUACGGGUUGUAAACUGCUUUUAUACGGGAAUAAACCGCUUUACGUGUAGGGUUUUGUAUGUACCUUAUGAAUAAGGACCGGCUAAUUCCGUUCCAGCAGCCGCGGUAAUACGGAAGGUCCGGGCGUUAUCCGGAUUUAUUGGGUUUAAAGGGAGCGUAGGCGGCAUGUUAAGCGUGCUGUGAAAUGCCGUGGCUCAACCCGGGCAGUGCAGGGCGAACUGGCUUGCUGGAGUGCGCGGAAAGCAGGCGGAAUUCGUCGUGUAGCGGUGAAAUGCUUAGAUAUGACGAAGAACCCCGAUUGCGAAGGCAGCUUGCUGCAGCGGUACUGACGCUGAUGCUCGAAAGCGCGGGUAUCGAACAGGAUUAGAUACCCUUGUAGUC